rfam:Brassica rapa chromosome A4, whole genome shotgun sequence.
AGAGGAAGGAUCCAAAGGGAUCGCAUUGAUCCUAAGUCGAGUGAAUUCUCCUUAUUAUUUUCUUAAUUAUUGGCAAAAUAUCCCAAAAUUUUGCUUGGUUUUGGAUCAUGCUAUCCCUUUCGAUUCAUCCUU